rnacentral:snRNA from 1 species
CCGGGAAGAGCCCAGCUU